CGAGCACGCGCGUGUGGCAUAUCAAUAAGCGGAGGAAAAGAAACUAACAAGGAUUCCCUUAGUAACGGCGAGUGAAGCGGGAAGAGCUCAAAUUUGAAAUCUUCAAGGUUCUACCUUGACGAAUUGUAGUUUAUAGAAGUGUUUUCUGUUAGUAGAGGUGGCUAAAAGUUCUUUGGAAUAGGACAUCAUAGAGGGUGAGAAUCCCGUAUUUGGUCAUUCCUUCCUAGCGUUGUGAUACACUUUCAACGAGUCGGAUUGUUUGGGAAUGCAGUCCAAAAUGGGUGGUAAAUUUCAUCUAAAGCUAAAUAUUGGCGAGAGACCGAUAGCGAACAAGUACCGUGAGGGAAAGAUGAAAAGAACUUUGAAAAGAGAGUUAAACAGUACGUGAAAUUGUCAAAAGGGAAGCGUUUGACACCAGUGUUGUUUUUCCGAAAAUCAAUUACGAAUGUUUUGUUUUUGAGGAGUUAUGACUUCAUCGGCUUGCUCCUUUCUUUACGAGACUUUCUUAAUGCACUUUUCGGUUAACAAGUCAACAUCAAUUUCUUUUGUUGUAAAAGGGUAUGAGGAAGGUGGCUUUCUUUUCGGAGAAAGUGUUUAUAGCCUUGUACCUCUGCAAUCGGAGAGAUUGAGGUCUGCAGCGUAGAUCCUUCGGGGUUAGAUACAUUUGUGCUAAGUUAUAGCUUUUCAUAGACAACUUGUUGACUAUGUUAAGUCUUGUAGCUUACUCGCUUAUGCUAUUUUACCUACGCUUAGGAUGUUGAUGUGAUACUGCGAGC
rnacentral:rRNA from 1 species